rnacentral:misc_RNA from 1 species
GCAUGGCACCUUAAAUAACUAAACCAACCACAAAUUUUAUGAUAAACAUAAAAAAUGAAAGAUUAGGCAUGUGUCUAUAGCUAUCAGCAGCAAAAGAAAGCCCUAUGCAGGUCUCAGCUCAUCCAUGGCCAAAAACUAUUACAACCAUGUCUUAGGAAAUUAGCACAUGCAAAACAAUGAAGAAAGAAAGCUAAAAUGCGUACAAUAUGAAUCCACACCAAAGCAUGCAACCAUAUUAUAAAGUAUCUCCUCAAGUAAGCAUAAAAUGAGAGUCAUACUUCUCUAUAAGAAGGAUCCAGCAACUAAAUGAACUGUAAGUCACAUGACUGGUCAUUGAUGUUUACACAUGAAUAAUACUACAAGAGGAAGAAAGGGAUUCUCCAAAUAUAAAGGAGGUCAGCCAUGAAAAAUAUUUUUUGGUUCGUGUCUAUGAGCAAGUCUUUGUAACAUGAAAACAUAAUUUAAAAAUAUGAAAAACAUAAUUUAAAAGUUUUCCAUAAUAAGUCCUGGAACUUAUUUUAUAAAAUAUUUAAAAAAAUCACCAUUUUUACCCAUGUCUUAAAAUUCCCCAAAUCCAAGCAUCAAGUUAGAAUUGCAAGGUUGACAAAGAUGAGCUCCAGAUAUACCCUCUACAGCCUUGACAUUGAAAAUCUCAACCUCUAGAACCUGUUUAGUCCAUACCAACAUUUUUGAAUAAAGAGGAGCUGUUUAGCAACAAGCUAAUAGCUAAUAAUUGCUCAUUACAACUAGUAACAAAAGUUGCCAAAUCAAGUCAUUAACUACUUAUUCACUCAAGUCAGACCAUCCUGUAACAUUCUUCACUUUUUCAUUUGAGUUGGCAUUCGAAACUCCAUUGAUGGCAUACUCCUCCAGGUUAUCCAUUGAAGCUCACAUAUUGUUUCCAUUCCCACACGUUACCCCACGUAUUCUUAUUGUUUUAACACUUUGUUGCUUAUCCACCGGAUCCUUUGAAUAACUGUCCAUGGUGGCAUUCAAAUAAGCUCAUACCCACCAAGGAAAAAAAGAAGGCAACUGUACACCUCAAAACAUGGCAAGUUAAACAUAUAUAUAUAAAGAUUUUUGCAGAAAUUAAACCAGAACAAAAGCCCAAAUUAAAAAACCUGGAACUCAGGUAAAUGACACAAAAUCCAUGAAUCAAUCCUAAAAAUGGCUAACAAAAAGAAACUGCCACCAAUAGAAUGAUAAAAGAGGGAAAAAGAAAAUGUAAAAGGGAAAACCUGAAAGAGUAUAGUGAGGCGA